rnacentral:rRNA from 1 species
GAUGUACGCUGGCGGCGUGCCUAAUACAUGCAAGUCGAGCGAACAGACGAGGAGCUUGCUCCUCUGACGUUAGCGGCGGACGGGUGAGUAACACGUGGAUAACCUACCUAUAAGACUGGGAUAACUUCGGGAAACCGGAGCUAAUACCGGAUAAUAUAUUGAACCGCAUGGUUCAAUAGUGAAAGACGGUUUUGCUGUCACUUAUAGAUGGAUCCGCGCCGCAUUAGCUAGUUGGUAAGGUAACGGCUUACCAAGGCAACGAUGCGUAGCCGACCUGAGAGGGUGAUCGGCCACACUGGAACUGAGACACGGUCCAGACUCCUACGGGAGGCAGCAGUAGGGAAUCUUCCGCAAUGGGCGAAAGCCUGACGGAGCAACGCCGCGUGAGUGAUGAAGGUCUUCGGAUCGUAAAACUCUGUUAUUAGGGAAGAACAAAUGUGUAAGUAACUACGCACGUCUUGACGGUACCUAAUCAGAAAGCCACGGCUAACUACGUG